rnacentral:snRNA from 1 species
GUGCACUUCAGCAGCACGUGAACUACAACUGGGGCGACAGAGACUAGCACGGCCCCUGCACAAGGGUGGCACGCAAGUUCAUGACGCCUUCCACAUGUUU